UUUAUUUUAUUUAUUGAUUGAUCAUUAUUAUUGAUUUCAUUUUCAGCAGUAUUGAUUCUUAACCAUGUCAAAUACAACAACUCCAUCAACUCGAAAGGAUAUUGCUUGGAAUUAUGCAACAUGUUCGGAUCCUAAAAACCCAAAUGUUGUUGGUUGUAUUUUCUGUGGUAAAAUAACAAAUGGUGGAAUUUAUCGACACAAGCUACAUUUAGUUGGGGGCAAUAGAAAUGUAAAAGCUUGUCCGAAAUGUCCCGAGCAUGUUAAAGAAGAAAUUAGAGAGUUCAUGCAAAAAAAGAGUAAUUUGAAGAAUCAAAUGGAUGAAAUUCCUCAUUCUGAUGAUGUUGAUAAUUUGGAAGAUUUGGAAGAACAGGAAGAAGAUGAUCAUCAAACUAAAGUGAAAGGGAAACGACCAAUAUCUGAUUCAAGCAAUCAUCAUACGGUCCAAGGUAAAAAGUGUAAACAAACUGGACCUAUUAACCUUUAUUUUAUGAAAGAUGUCGAUGAAAUUGUCAAGCAAAGACGUGCAAAAAAUAAAGGACAAUUUGAUGAAAAUAAAAAGAAGUUAAGAGAAAUUGCAGUUGAGAAAUUUGCAAGAUGGAUGUAUGAUGCUGGAAUUCCCUUCAAUGCUGUAAAAUAUGAUUCUUUUGAGCCUUGUAUUGAAGCUAUUGGACAAUUUGGAUCGGGGAUGAAACCUCCAUCAUAUCAUGAAGUGAGGGUUAAGUAUUUGAAGAAGGAGUUGGCAAAUACGAAUUCGCUUCUCAAAUCCCAUGAAGAAGAUCAUGCUAAGUUUGGGUGCACAAUCAUGGCAGAUGGAUGGACCGAUAAAAAGGGUAGGACUCUUAUAAAUUUUUUGGUGAAUGGUCCCAAAGGAAGUGUAUUUGUCGAAUCAGUUGAUGCUUCAGGCUAUUCUCACACAGCGGACAAGAUGUUUGAGUUACUCUCUAAAUUUGUGUAUCGCAUUGGAGAAAAAAAUGUGGUUCAAAUUGUAACAGAUAAUGCAAGUUGCAAUGUCAGUGCAGGUAAUAUUUUAAAUUUUUGUUACUUUCAUGUUUCAAUUAUAAUUGAAUUAUAUUUUUAUUAUUUUUUUAUUAAAUUUAUUUGUUUUUCAGGUCGUCUUUUGGAAAACCGAUUUCCACACUUGUACUGGACACCCUGUGCAGCUCAUUGUUUAGAUUUGUUGCUCGAGGAUAUAUUCAAAAUUCCUCAUCUCAGAAAAUUGCAUGAACGAGCGUUGAUGGUUAAUGGUUAUAUUUACAACAGACCACAAGUAUUGAGCAUGAUGAGAGAGUUUACUGGACAGAGAGAUAUGGUAAGAACCGCAAAGACACGUUUUGCAACCGCUUUUUUAACUUUAAAGCGAUUUCAUGUACAACAAGCAAAUCUGAGAAAGAUGUUUACAUCUUAAAAGUGGGCAAAUAGUCGAUUUUCUAAGGAGGUUGCAGGAAAACGUGUAGCAGAAGUGAUAUUGAUGCCUUCUUUUUGGAAAAAUAUGGUUUUUGCAUUAAAGGUUGGUGGCCCAUUGGUGAAAGUAUUACGACUGGUAGAUGGUGAAAAAAGGUCUCCUAUGGGUUAUAUCUAUGAGUCAAUGACAGGGCCAAAGAAGCUAUCGCUGCGUCAUUUAACAAUAAUGAAGAGAAAUAUCGUAGCAUUUUUGAUCUCAUUGACAAAAGAUGGAACAUUCAACUUCAUCGACCUUUGCACGCAGCUGGAUAUUUCUUGAAUCCAGAGUAUUUUUACUCAAACUCUGAUAUAGAAAAUGAUACAGAAGUGAUGGAGGGUUUGUACAAGUGCAUAUCCAGAUUAGUGAAAGGUGAGGAUUUACAAGAUAAGAUCACGAAUCAAUUGGAAAAAUACAAGAAAGCAGAAGGACUUUUUGGUUUGCCAAUGGCUAUCCGACAAAGAACUUUAAAAUCACCAGCUGAUUGGUGGUCUUCUUAUGGUGCAUCAACUCCUGAAUUAAAAACAUUUGCAAUGAAGAUUUUAAACCUCACAUGCUCUUCUUCAGGCUGUGAACGUAAUUGGAGUGUUUUUGAACAUAUACAUUCUAAGAAAAGGAAUAGGUUGUCUCAACAACGAUUGAAUGAUUUGGUAUAUAUCAAGUACAAUAGAGCUUUGAGGAGAAGAUAUGACAUGCGAGACAAAAUUGAUCCUAUUACUUUGUCAGAGAUAGAUGAUAGUAAUGAAUGGUUGUUGGGUAAAUUGGAUGACAGUGAUAAAGACAAUGAUAAUGAUUUUGUCUACGAAGGUGAAGAUUUGCGUUGGAGUGAUGUAGCACGAGCAUCUGGGGUUGGUGAAAGUGCAUAUGGCUUUCGAUCUCGAAAUGCAUCUUCUUCAAAAGGGGCAUCAUUAUCUGCAUCAGCAAAAAGGAAACUAUCUUCAGCUCAAACUAGUCUUGUUAAUGAAGAAGAAAUUAAUCUUGAUGAUGAAACUGAAGAAGAGGAUACUGAUGGAUACAAAUCAAGCGAUGGAGCUGAUGACGUAGAUUUGGACAAUGAAGAUGAAGAAGAUGAUUAUUUUGAUAUUUGAUAUUUCCUCUAUUAUAUUUUCAAAGACUUGUGAUUUUCAAUAAUCUACAACUUCAUCAAAGAAUAUUUGUUUAUGGUUAUUUGGAUUUUCAAAGACAUUUUGAAAGAUUUUUAAUAAAUAUAAGAGUCCUAUUGUUUAUUACGCUUUUUUCCGUAG